rnacentral:rRNA from 1 species
AAACGUAAGAUGACUGGUAGGUGAAAGCUUACAUCUCUUCGGAGCAUUUUACGAGGUGCUGCAUGGUUGUCGUCAGCUCGUGCCGUGAGGUGUCGGGUUAACGUCCCAUAACGAGCGCAACCCCUUACCUUUAGUUGCCAUCAGGUAAUGCGUGGGGACUCUAAAGGAACUGCCUACGCAAGUAGUGAGGAAGGCGGGGAUGACGUCAAAUCAGCACGGCCCUUACGUCCAGGGCUACACACGUGCUACAAUGGCCGAUACAGAGGGCAGCUACCUGGUGACAGGAUGCAAAUCUCCAAAGUCGGUCUCAGUUCGGAUCGGAGUCUGCAACCCGACUCCGUGAAGUUGGAUUCGCUAGUAAUCGCGCAUCAGCCAUGGCGCGGUGAAUACGUUCCCGGGCCUU